GGAAUACCCGCUGAACUUAAGCAUAUCA
rnacentral:rRNA from 4 species